rnacentral:lncRNA from 1 species
GUUUACAUGUGUUUAAUAGCGUUUUAUUUAAUGAAACCAUUAUGUGUUUUAAUUAAACUCUUUUUUUAAAGGAUUGUAUAGGUCUCAGAGUUCUGUUAUUUAGACAUAGAUGAUUUAAUUUAACUAGUUAAGGGGUAUUUUUCUUUAGGGCUCUGAAACACACAGAGGCUAAUAGUUUUUAAACAGAAAGUUUUUUCCACCUUCUAAAAACACAUAUUCACACACAGCAUUUAAUUUAACUAGUUUUAGGGGUAUUUUGCUUUUUCUUUAGGGCUCUGAAACACACAGGGGUGUAAUAGUUUCAAACAGAAUACCACAAACAGCAUGCAUUCCUUUAGAAAUGGGAUUCUUAAUUCUGCAACUGCUAGACAGAGGGGGGUUACAGUUAGACCCCCUACAGUCAGCAGAAGAGGUCAUCCUUAUCAAGAGCAUCUCAAUUGUACUGCCAUAGUUUUCAAUACAAACAGUCUCCUUUAUCUUAUGGCAGAGUGCCGGCGGUGCCAGGUCCAUCGGUGCCACCAUACCUUUUAUCAUGCCAUUACACUUUCUACUGACCAUCCUCCAAACAGGCAUCACCUUUUGUUUACACCUGAAACCAACCCCAACCCCAAGGGACUGUAAUGACACCUCCUAGAGGACUGCUCCAAUACAUAUAAAAACGGUCUCUUUCACCAUUUGGAACAUCAACAGCGCAACCUAAAGAACACCUCUAACUAGCUAACUAAGGAGUGCAGGAUGACGUCGGCAUCAACCAUGACGAACAGCCAGAACAUCACCCAAGCCACAGAAGCUCUAGAGCGAGACAUGCAAGCGUGGGACCUCUCAGACUCCCCACCGCCUGCGCUGCUAAUCCAGACCCCACCACAUCCUCCCCCCUCUCCUCAGCUGCUGCAGGAUCCUACAGGAUCGGGUCUGUGUGAGGAAACCAUUAUCGACAUCAAGCUUGCAACCCAUCACAUGGUGAUGUUGGCAUUAAACGCCUUUCUACAGGAAACAUGCGGAUGUCGAACAGCUCAACCCAGUCAGACGGAUGCCUGGAUGUGCGUUGGAGCCGACUUUGCUACCCGCACACAGCGUUUCUGACCUACGGGCGCUGCUUAUACAACAGAGAAAAGCAACAAUACAGCGUGUUUCUCUGCUCCAAGACAUCGGCGGGCCUUUCACACGGUAAGCAUGUCUGUUAUACCCAGCGCAUAAAUGUCUGUAUGUCAGUGCUGAUUAUACAAACCCUGUUUAAAAUGUGACACAUAUGUUGUCCGAAAACAAAUCCUCUAAAUUUGCAAAGUUACUGAUUUAAAAAUAUAUUUUCGAAUUUUUAGUUGCAUGACAAACAUACGAUAGACUCUUGAGCGUAUUUAUUUAUAUAGCUACAUUCACAACGGUACAACCAUGCUAAAUAAAAGAUGCCCAAGCACCAAAGCACUCUAAUGCAAGCCUCUGAACUACAUGUUGAUAAGUGCAUGAAGUUAACCUCUACAGCUGAAAACAGUUUGUAUCCGCACUCUGAGGGUCUACUGAAUUGUUUUUAAUAUUGCGCUUUUUCACGAACUGCAGAUGAUGAAUUCCUCUUUAUUGGACAUAAUGUCCUUAAGCUAUUGUUGCUCAUACUUACAGAGUUCCCUAGCUAGUUCUUUACUAUGUCAGUAAACUUUUCGAAAAGGAAGGUGUUGUAGAUUUAAAGAAACAUCCUAAUUGAAGCAAAGGCAAAAAAUUGGAACGAAUUUUAUGUGACUGUUCAUAUUAAAGCCAACAACAAGUGAAAAUCCAAAACCGACUCCAAUGCUUUGUAUUAAUGAUCUCCCCCUCUCUCUCUCUCUCUCUCUCUCUCUCUCUCUCUCUCUCUGUGUGUGUGUGUGUGUGUGUGUGUGUGUGAGUGUGUGUGUGUGUGCCCUCACAGAAGGAAGGUCACAGCAGGAGCUUUUUCAAACGCGUUUCCAAUCAUCUUUACAAGAAGUGUAGCUCAUACAAUGGUAUUAUUGUAUUAUUUGCGAUACUUUAUAAAUAUGAAACUCUAAAGAUUUGGAGUUCAUGCAAAUUGUGAAACAAGAAUCUAAAUAUUUGUGUCACAGUGAUUUCUAUAAAAACAUGUUGUUUAUGGGGAUAAUGUAACAAAUCUUUUGUGGCCCUAUUAAUGAUCAAUGGUAAUUGAAGAGGAAGCUGAACCCCGGCUCUGGACAUUUUCAGGACAAGCGACAGCGCAGACAUCUACUAAUGAGAGAACAUGUUUUAUCAUCAUAAACACUGUGAUAUGAAGCAUCGUUAAAGUGUCACUUCAGUAAUGUUUUAAUAGAUGACUUUAAAACACUAAACUCUAAUUUCUGUGGUUUAUUUUAAGUUUACAGAAUAUAACAUGUGGUAAGACGACGAGUUUUACUUCUCACAA